CACGUAGGGGGCAAGCGUUGUCCGGAUUUAUUGGGCGUAAAGCGCUCGUAGGCGGCUUAGUAAGUCGGGUGUGAAACCUCCAGGCUCAACCUGGAGACGCCACCCGAUACUGCUGUGGCUAGAGUCCGGUAGGGGAGCGUGGAAUUCCUGGUGUAGCGGUGAAAUGCGCAGAUAUCAGGAGGAACACCAGCGGCGAAGGCGGCAUCCUGGACCGGCAUUGACGCUGAAGCGCGAAAGCUAGGGGAGCAAACGGG
rnacentral:rRNA from 1 species